ACGAACGCUGGCGGCGUGCUUAACACAUGCAAGUCGAACGGAAAGGCCCUGCUUUUGUGGGGUGCUCGAGUGGCGAACGGGUGAGUAACACGUGAGUAACCUGCCCUUGACUUUGGGAUAACUUCAGGAAACUGGGGCUAAUACCGGAUAUGAGCUCCUGCUGCAUGGUGGGGGUUGGAAAGUUUCGGCGGUUGGGGAUGGACUCGCGGCUUAUCAGCUUGUUGGUGGGGUAGUGGCUUACCAAGGCUUUGACGGGUAGCCGGCCUGAGAGGGUGACCGGCCACAUUGGGACUGAGAUACGGCCCAGACUCCUACGGGAGGCAGCAGUGGGGAAUAUUGCACAAUGGGCGGAAGCCUGAUGCAGCAACGCCGCGUGCGGGAUGACGGCCUUCGGGUUGUAAUCCGCUUUCGCCUGUGACGAAGCGUGAGUGACGGUAAUGGGUAAAGAAGCACCGGCUAACUACGUG
rnacentral:rRNA from 1 species